GUCUGCCACAUCCAAGUGGGUGAUGUCAAAAUUGUCGUCAGAGACAGAAUUGGUUUCAGGGCAUUUACCUUUUAGAGAUGCUUGAUAAAGCUCAACCCAAAUGUCUUGGUACACGGCAAAUUUUCGCCCAGUGCCCUUUUCCACAGCAGCGAUAAUAUAUAGUUUAUGAACUAUUUGCUUUUGGAUUCUCAUCGCAUCGUGCUUGUGGN
rnacentral:lncRNA from 1 species